rnacentral:rRNA from 1 species
UGCCAGCAGCCGCGGUAAUACGGAGGGUCCAAGCGUUAUCCGGAAUCAUUGGGUUUAAAGGGUUCGCAGGCGGUUUAAUAAGUCAGUGGUGAAAUCCCGUAGCUCAACUACGGAACUGCCAUUGAUACUGUUAGACUUGAAUAUAGUUGGAGUAGGCGGAAUGUGUAGUGUAGCGGUGAAAUGCUUAGAUAUUACACAGAACACCGAUAGCGAAGGCAGCUUACUAAACUAUGAUUGACGCUCAUGAACGAAAGCGUGGGGAGCGAACAGGAUUAGAUA